AGUUUGAUUCUGGCUCAGAUUGAACGCUGGCGGGAUGCUUUACACAUGCAAGUCGAACGGCAGCAUCGACUUCGGCCCAGCACAGCGAGCAGAAACGGGGUAGAGUAAUGUAUCGGAACGCCUAGUAGCGGGGAUAACUACGCGAAAGCGUAGCUAAUACUGCAUACCACCUUCUUCGGGAAAGCGGGGAUCUUCGGGCCUCGCACUAUUAGAGCGGCCGAUAUCGGAUUAGCUAGUUGGUGGGGUAACGGCUCACCGAUGGCGAUGAUCCGUAGCUGGUUUGAGAGGACGACCAGCCACACUGGGACUGAGACACGGCCCAGACUCCUACGAGGCAGCAGUGGGGGAAUUUUGGACAAUGGGGAAACCCUGAUCCAGCCAUCCGCAAGAUGAAGGCCUUCGGGCUAAAGCACUUUUGGCAGAAAGAAACGGCACGGGAUAAUACCCCGUGCAACUGACGGUACCUGCAGAAUAAGCACCGGCUACCCACGUGCCAGCAGCCGCGGUAAUGUGUAGGGUGCAAGGUUAAUCGGAAUUACUGGGCGUAAAGCGUGCAGGCGGUUCGAAAGAAAAGAUGUGAAAUCCCAGAGCUUAACUUUGAACUCGCAUUUUUAACUACCGAGCUAGAGUGUCAGAGGGAGGUGGAAUUCCGCAGCGAAAUGCGUAGAUAUGCGGAGGAACGACCGACGGCGAAGGCAGCCUCCUGGGAUAACACUGACGGCUCGCCAUGCACGAAAGCGUGGAGCAAACAGAUUAGAUACCCUGGUAAUUCACGCCCUAAACGAUGUCAACUAGUCGUUGGGGCCUUCGGGCUCUGGUAGCGCAGCUAACGCGUGAAGUUGACCGCCUGGGGAGUACGGUCGCAAGAUUAAAACCUGCGUUAGUUGACGGGGACUCGCACAAGCGGUGGAUGAUGUGGAUUAAUUCGAUGCAACGCGAAAAACCUUACCUACCCUUGACAUGUCUGGAAUCCCGAAGAGAUUUGGGAGUGCUCGCAAGAGAACCGGAACACAGGUGCUGCAUGGCUGUCGUCAGCUCGUGUCGUGAGAUGUUGGGUUAAGUCCCGCAACGAGCGCAACCUUGUCAUUAGUUGCUACGAAAGGGCACUCUAAUGAGACUGCCGUGACAAACCGGAGGAAGGUGGGGAUGCGACGUCAAGUCCUCAGUGGCCCUUAGCGGGUAGGGCUUCACACGUCAUACAAUGGUCGGGACAGAGGGUCGCCAACCCGCGAGGGGGAGCCAAUCCCAGAAACCCGAUCGUAGUCCGGAUCGCAGUCUGCAACUCGACUGCGUGAAGUCGGAAUCGCUAGUAAUCGCGGAUCAGCAUGUCGCGGUGAAUACGUUCCCGGGUCUUGUACACACCGCCCGUCACACCAUGGGAGGUUUUACCAGAAGUAGUUAGCCUAACCGUAAGGAGGGCGAUUACCACGGUAGGAUUCAUGACUGGGGUGAAGUCGUAACAAGGUAG
rnacentral:rRNA from 1 species